AGGUGAUCCAACCGCAGGUUCCCCUACGGUUACCUUGUUACGACUUCACCCCAGUCAUGAAUCACAAAGUGGUAAGCGCCCUCCCGAAGGUUAAGCUACCUACUUCUUUUGCAACCCACUCCCAUGGUGUGACGGGCGGUGUGUACAAGGCCCGGGAACGUAUUCACCGUGGCAUUCUGAUCCACGAUUACUAGCGAUUCCGACUUCAUGGAGUCGAGUUGCAGACUCCAAUCCGGACUACGACGCACUUUAUGAGGUCCGCUUGCUCUCGCGAGGUCGCUUCUCUUUGUAUGCGCCAUUGUAGCACGUGUGUAGCCCUGGUCGUAAGGGCCAUGAUGACUUGACGUCAUCCCAACCUUCCUCCAGUUUAUCACUGGCAGUCUCCUUUGAGUUCCCGGCCGGACCGCUGGCAACAAAGGAUAAGGGUUGCGCUCGUUGCGGGACUUAACCCAACAUUUCACAACACGAGCUGACGACAGCCAUGCAGCACCUGUCUCACGGUUCCCGAAGGCACAUUCUCAUCUCUGAAAACUUCCGUGGAUGUCAAGACCAGGUAAGGUUCUUCGCGUUGCAUCGAAUUAAACCACAUGCUCCACCGCUUGUGCGGGCCCCCGUCAAUUCAUUUGAGUUUUAACCUUGCGGCCGUACUCCCCAGGCGGUCGACUUAACGCGUUAGCUCCGGAAGCCACGCCUCAAGGGCACAACCUCCAAGUCGACAUCGUUUACGGCGUGGACUACCAGGGUAUCUAAUCCUGUUUGCUCCCCACGCUUUCGCACCUGAGCGUCAGUCUUCGUCCAGGGGGCCGCCUUCGCCACCGGUAUUCCUCCAGAUCUCUACGCAUUUCACCGCUACACCUGGAAUUCUACCCCCCUCUACGAGACUCAAGCUUGCCAGUAUCAGAUGCAGUUCCCAGGUUGAGCCCGGGGAUUUCACAUCUGACUUAACAAACCGCCUGCGUGCGCUUUACGCCCAGUAAUUCCGAUUAACGCUUGCACCCUCCGUAUUACCGCGGCUGCUGGCACGGAGUUAGCCGGUGCUUCUUCUGCGGGUAACGUCAAUGAGCAAAGGUAUUAACUUUACUCCCUUCCUCCCCGCUGAAAGUACUUUACAACCCGAAGGCCUUCUUCAUACACGCGGCAUGGCUGCAUCAGGCUUGCGCCCAUUGUGCAAUAUUCCCCACUGCUGCCUCCCGUAGGAGUCUGGACCGUGUCUCAGUUCCAGUGUGGCUGGUCAUCCUCUCAGACCAGCUAGGGAUCGUCGCCUAGGUGAGCCGUUACCCCACCUACUAGCUAAUCCCAUCUGGGCACAUCCGAUGGCAAGAGGCCCGAAGGUCCCCCUCUUUGGUCUUGCGACGUUAUGCGGUAUUAGCUACCGUUUCCAGUAGUUAUCCCCCUCCAUCAGGCAGUUUCCCAGACAUUACUCACCCGUCCGCCACUCGUCAGCAAAGAAGCAAGCUUCUUCCUGUUACCGUUCGACUUGCAUGUGUUAGGCCUGCCGCCAGCGUUCAAUCUGAGCCAUGAUCAAACUCU
rnacentral:rRNA from 1 species